rnacentral:siRNA from 1 species
AACCAAAUCUAAGUGCCACCGCAA